rnacentral:rRNA from 1 species
ACGUAGGGAGCGAGCGUUGUCCGGAAUUACUGGGUGUAAAGGGAGCGUAGGCGGGACUGCAAGUCAGAUGUGAAAACUAUGGGCUCAACCUGUAGAUUGCAUUUGAAACUGUGGUUCUUGAGUGAAGUAGAGGUAAGCGGAAUUCCUAGUGUAGCGGUGAAAUGCGUAGAUAUUAGGAGGAACAUCGGUGGCGAAGGCGGCUUACUGGGCUUUUACUGACGCUGAGGCUCGAAAGCGUGGGGAGCAAACAG